CGUGGUGGCUCUUUGAUCAGAAGGCUGCAGCAAUCUAUCGAGAAACUGCUGCUCCAACUUCAGAAGCUCUUUUGAAGAACUUCCAGAUCAGAUCCAGAUUUGAAUUUUGGAGCGAAGAUUCACGAGGAGAAGAUAAUCCAGAUCCUGCUCAAGUGGAUAUCGGUAGAGGCUAGAUGACUGCGUGGCUAAAUCAGAACCUCGGACAUUGCUGCGAUCAUCUACAGGGUAAUCAAGUUACCCUAGAGGUAUUUCUGUAUUCCUCAUAGUUUUAG
rnacentral:lncRNA from 1 species